GUGCUCGUUUCAGCAGCACGUAUAUUAAAAUUGGAGCGAUAUGGAGAAGAUUAUCAUGGCCCCGCACAAGGAUGACAUGCAAAUUUGUGAAGUGUUCCAUAUUAAA
ensembl:snRNA U6 U6 spliceosomal RNA